CUCGCAAUGCUUCUUUAAUGGAGCCAAAGGCCACAAGAAAUCUGAAAUCAGCUCUUAGGGGGGUUUUAAGAAUGUCUUCUGGGUGCCAUAUUUAAUUCGUGGCAAUUACUAGAAGAUUUCUGCUACAACAAAAAGCCAUUAUCUCAUUAGUAACAGGAAGACCAGGAAAAGGUCUGGCCUGCUUCUCAGUGAAGAGGAAGAGCUCGCUACAGAUGAUACUGGCAUCUGGUGCCUCUUCUGCUUUGGUCCUUACUGGAAAAGACGGGGAACAGAUGGCUUGUACAGCUAACACAAGCAUCAAAUGAAUUAGGAGGAAAACCUGUUUCCUCAGAAUUCACUGUGGAACUGACUAGAAGAAUGUGAUGGUCCUGGUGACCCAUCCCAGAGACCUACCUGGAUAGCUGUGGGAAGGCCGCAAAGGCAGAUAUCCAGAAGCACUGUUCAUUCAGAUGGAUUAAAUGAAGGCACUGGUCUGCUAGCCUGAAUACACUGGAUUUCUGUUCAUCUGUUACUGAUAGCAG
ensembl:lncRNA